GGAUCUUUCUGUCUCGUGAGAUGGAAAACAAAUCCAAACUGUGUAAGAGGAAAAAGAAUGCACUGAUCACUAGCAUUGAGAAGUUCCCAAGCUUAGCUUGCUUGGGGUACAGCUACGUCUACCAUUUCCAGGGUCAUCCUGUAACUCUCUCUCUCUACUUCCCCAACUUUGGCUCCAUGUUUAGCUCCACGACCCUCAGACUUAAACAGCAGCACUGGCUCCUCCCCAGAUCUCCAGCUCCCUGACCCUCAAACUCCAACUCCAACACCAGCUCUGCCCCAGGUCUCCAGCUCCACAAUCCUCAAACUACAACAGCAGCACCAGCUCCCCUGGGGAUCUCCAGCUCAAUGACUCUCAGACUUGGGAGGCAGCUCCAGCUCCCACCAAGCCUCCAGCUCCACAACCUUCAAACUAGAACAGCAGCACCAGCUACUCCCUGGGUCUCCAGCUCCCUCAAAAUUCAACUAUAGCACUGGCUGUUCCCCAGCGCCACCAGCUCCACAACCCUCAACUUACACGGUGGUAGCACCAGCUCCUCCCUAGGUCUCCAGCUACACGACCGUCAAACUUGAACUGCAACACCAGCUCCUCUUCGGCCUCCAGCUCCACAAUCCUCCAACAACAACAGCAACACCGGCUCCUCCCUGAAUCUCCAGCUCAACAACCCUCAGACUUGAGAGGCAGCACCGGCACCUCCCCAAGGCUCCAGCUCCAUGACCCUCAGAUUUGAACAGCGGUAGCACCAGCUCCUGUCCAGGUCUCCAGCUUCAUGAUCCUUAAACUAGAACAGCAGCACCACCACCUCCCUAGGUUUCCAGCUCCACGACCCUAAGACAUGAAUGGCAGGACCGGGUUCCCCGCUAGGGCUCCAGCUCCAAGACCCACAGAUAUAAACGGCAGCACCGGCUCUUCCUGGGAUCUCCAGCUCCACAGCCUUCAAACACGAUCAGCAGCACCAGCUCCCCUCUGGUUCUCCAGCUCCACAAUCCUCAGACAUGAACAGCAGCACAGGCUCCUCCUUGGGUCUCCAGCUUCUCUACCCUCAGACUAGAACAGCAACACUUGUUCCUCCCUGGGUCUCCAGCUCUUACAAGUCUCAGACUUGAAAGGCAGCACUGGCUCCUCAGAAAGUUUCUGGCUCCAAGCUGGUGCUGCUGUCCUAGUUUGAAGGUCAUGGAGCUGGAGACCCGGGGAGGAACCAUUUGAACAGCAGCACUGGCCCCUCCCCGGGUCUCAGGCUCCACGACCCUCAGACUUAAAAAGCCGUAGUACGGGCUUCUCCCUGGGUCUCCAUCUCUACAACCCUCAGACAUGAACAGCAGCAGCACCGCCCCCUCCCCCUGUCUCCAGUUCCACGAACCUCAAACUACAACAGCAGUACCGGCCUCUCCCCAGGUCUCAGGCUCCACGACCCUCAGACUUAAAAAGCCGUAGUACGGGCUUCUCCCUGGGUCUCCAGCUCUACAACCCUCAGACAUGAACAGCAGCACCGGCUCCUCCCCCUGUCUCCAGUUCCACGAACCUCAAACUACAACAGCAGUACCGGCCUCUCCCCAGGUCUCCAGAUCCAUGACCCUCAAAAUAGAAUGGCAUCAUCAGCUCCUCCCUGGGUCUCCAGCUCCCAAACCCUCAAACUUCAACUAACACAGCAGAUCCUCCCCACAGUUAAACAGCAGCACGGGCUGUUCCCCAAAGCUCCAGAUACACGACCCUCAGUAGCACUGGCUCCUCCCAAGGUCUCCAGUUCCAUGACCCUCAAACUACACAGCAGCACCGGCUCCUCCCCAGGUCUAUAGCUCCACCACCCUCACACUAGACAUCAAGACUACCUCCUUCCCGCUCUCCAGCUACACGACCCUCAAACUUGAACAGCAGCAGCAGCUCCUCCCUAGAUUUCCAGCUCCAUGACCCUAAACCUGCAACAGCAGCACCAGCUCCUCCCUGUACCUCAAGCCCCAUGACCCUCUGACUUGAUCAACAGCAACAGCAGCUCCCUCCCUGGUCUCCAGCUCCACAACCUUCAGCCUUAAACAGCAGCAGCACCAGCUCCUCCCUGGGUCUCCAGCUCCACAACCCUCAGACUAGAACCGCACCCCUCCUCCCUGAGUCUCCAGCUCCAUGACCGUCAAACUACAACAGCAACACAGGUUCCUGUCUGGAUCUCCAGCUCAGCAACUCUCAGAUGAGGCAGCACCGGCAACUCACCAAGGCUCCAGCUCCACAACCCUCAGAUUUGAAUAAUGGUAGCACCAGCUCCUGUCCAGAUCUCCAGCUUCAUGAUCCUUAAACUAGAACAGCAGCACCGCUGCCUCCCUGGGUUUCCAGCUCCACGACCCUAAGACAUGAAUGGCAGAACCGGCUUCCCACAAGGGUUCCAGCUCCAGGACCCACAGAUUUAAAUGGCAGCACUGGCUCUUCCCAGGAUUUCCAGCUCCACUACCCUCAAACUAGAAGAGGAGCACCGGCUCCUCCCUGGGUCUCCAGCUCCCAAACCCUCAGACAUCACCUGACACACUGGAUCCUCCCCACAGUUACAUAGCAGCACGGGCUGUCCCCGAAAACUCGAGAUCCACAACCCUCUGACUUCAAUGGCGGUAGUACUGGUUCCUCCCUAGGUCUCCAGUUCCAUGACCCUCAAACUACACAGCAGCACCAGCUCCUCCCCAGGUCUACAGCUCCACCACCCUCACACUAGACACCAGGACUACCUCCUCCCCGCUCUCCAGCUACACGACCCGCAGAUUUGAACAGCAGCAGCGUCUCCUCCCUGUACCUCAAGCCCCAUAACCCUCAUAUAUGAACAACAGCAAUACCAGCUAAUGCCUAGGGCUCCAGCUCCAGGAUCCACAGAUUUAAACUGCAGCACCAGCUCGUCCAAGGAUCUCCAGCUCCACCACCCUCAGACUAGAACAAGACCUCUACUCCCUGGGUCGCGAGCUUCCGGACCCUCGAACUAUGAAAACAUUGCUCCUCCCUGGGUCCGCAGCUCCACGACCCUCAAACCAGAUCAAGAUCUCUCCUCCCUGUGUCGUCAGCUUCCUGACCCUUGAACUAUGACAACAUUGCUCCUCCCUGGGUCAGCAGCUCCACAACCCUCAAACCAGAUCAAGAUCUCUCCUCCCUGGGUCGCCAGCUUCCUGACCCUCGAACAACAGAAACAUUACUCCUCCCUGGGUCAGCAGCUCCAUGAUCCUCAAACUAGAAUGAGACCUCUCCUCCCUGCGUCGCCAGCUUCUGGACCCUUGAACUAUGAAAAUAUUGCUCCUCCCUGGGUCGGGAGCUCCAUGACCCUCAAACUAGAACAAGACCUCUCCUCCCUAGGUCUGCAGCUUCCAGUCCCUCAAAUAACAACAUUGCUCCUCCCUGGAUCUGCAGCUCCACGACCCUCAGACUAGAACACGAUCUGUCCUCCCUGGGUCACCAGCUUCCGAACCUUCGAACUAAAACAACAUUGCUCCUCCCUGGGUCUGCAGCUCCACGACCCUCAAACUAGAAAAAGACCUCUCCUCACUGUGUCGCCAGCUUCUGGACCCUCGAACUACAAAAACAUUGCUCCUGCCUGGGUCUGCAGCUCCACGACCCUCAAUCCAGAUCAAGAUCUCUCCUCCCUGUGUCAUCAGCUUCCUGACCCUCGAACUAUGACAGCAUUGCUCCUCCCUGGGCGCACCCUCAAACUAGAACAAGACCUCUCCACCCUGCGUCGCCAGUUUCCGGAGCCUCAAACUAAAACAACCUUGCUCCUCCCUGGGUCUGCAGCUCCACAACCCUCAAACUAGAACCAGACCUCUCCUCCCUGUGUUGCCAGCUUCCUGACCCUUGAACUAUGGAAACAUGGCUCCUCCCUAGGUCUGCAGCUCCACGACCCUCAAACUAAAACAAGAUCUCUCCUCCCUGGGUCUGCAGCUCCACGACCCUCAAACUAAAACAAGAUCUCUCCUCCCUGUGUCAUCAGCUUCCAGUCCCUCAAAUAACAACAUUGCUCCUCCCUGGGUCUGCAGCUCCACGACCCUCAAACUAAAACAAGACCUCUCCUCUCUAGGUCUGCAGCUUCCAGUCCCUCAAAUAACAACAUUGCUCCUCCCUGGAUCUGCAGCUCCAUGACUCUCAGACUACAACAAGAUCUCUCCUCCCUGGGUCACCAGCUUCCGGACCCUCGAACUACGAAAACAUUGCUCCUCCCUGGGUCUCCAGCUCCAUGACCCUCAAACUAAAACAAGAUCUCUCCUCCCUGUGUCAUCAGCUUCCAGUCCCUCAAAUAACAACAUUGCUCCUCCCUGGGUCUGCAGCUCCACGACCCUUAAACUAGAACAAGACCUCUCCUCACUGUGUCGCCAGCUUCCGGACCCUUGAACUAUGAAAACAUUGCUCCUCCCUGGGUCCGCAGCUCCACGACCCUCAAACUAAAACAAGAUCUCUCCUCCCUAGGUCUGCAGCUUCCAGUCCCUCAAAUAACAACAUUGCUCCUCCCUGGAUCUGCAGCUCCACGACCCUCAGACUAGAACAAGACCUCUCCUCCCUGAGUCACCAGCUUCCGAACCUUCGAACUAAAACAACAUUGCUCCUCCCUGGGUCCGCAGCUCCAUGACCCUCAAACUAGAACAAGACCUCUCCUCCCUAGGUCUGCAGCUUCCAGUCCCCAAAUAACAACAUUGCUCCUCCCUGGAUCUGCAGCUCCACGACCCUCAGACUAGAACAAGAUCUCUCCUCCCUGGGUCACCAGCUUCCGGACCCUGGAACUACAAAAACAUUGCUCCUCCCUGGGUCUGCAGCUCCACAACCCUCAAACUAAAACAAGAUCUCUCCUCCCUGUGUUGCCAGCUUCCGGACCCUCGAACUAUGACAACAUUGCUCCUCCCUGGGUCUGCAGCUCCACGACCCUCAAAGCAGAUCAAGAUCUCUCCUUCCUGUGUCAUCAGCUUCCUGACCCUUGAACUAUGACAACAUUGCUCCUCCCUGGGUCUGCAGCUCCAUGACUCUCAAACUAGAACAGCAGCACCAGCUCCUUCCUGGACCUCCAGGUCAAUGACUCUCAGACUUCAAAGGCAGCAGCAGCUCCACCCCCAGGCUCCAGCUCUAAAACCCUCAGAUGUGAGCAGUGGCAGCACCAGCUCCUUUCUGCGUCUCCGGCUUCAUGAUCCUUAAAUUAGAACAGCAGCGCCAUCUUCUCCCUGCGUCUCCAGCUCCAGGAACCUCAAACUGCAACAGGAGCACCUGUUCCUCUGGGAUUUUCACCUCCACGACCCUGAGGUGUCAGUGGCAGCACUGGCUCCUCCCCUGGGCUGCAGCUCCAGAACCCUCAAGAAUAAUCCCUUCUCAUGAAAUGUAGCAGUCAGGAAAACUGCAGAGGAAGUAAAUAAAUAAAUGUUUUCUUUCAAAC
rnacentral:lncRNA from 1 species